CAUGGCUGUCGUCAGCUCGUGCCGUGAGGUGUUGGGUUAAGUCCCGCAACGAGCGCAACCCCUACUGCCAGUUACUAACAGGUAACGCUGAGGACUCUGGCGGAACUGCCGGUGACAAACCGGAGGAAGGUGGGGAUGACGUCAAGUCAUCAUGGCCCCUAUGUCCAGGGCUACACACGUGCUACAAUGGGCGAUACAGAGUGACGCGAAGCCGCGAGGUGGAGCAAAUCGCAGAAAUCGCUCUCAGUUCGGAUUGGAGUCUGAAACCCGACUCCAUGAAGGUGGAAUCGCUAGUAAUCGCGCAUCAGCAUGGCGCGGUGAAUACGUUCUCGGGUUU
rnacentral:rRNA from 1 species